UACGUAGGGAGCGAGCGUUAUCCGGAAUUAUUGGGCGUAAAGGGUGCGUAGAUGGCAAUAAAAGUUUCUUGUAAAAAUGCUAGGCUCAACCUAGUAGGGCAAGGGAUACUAUAUAGCUAGAGUAUGAUAGAGGCAAGUGGAACUCCAUGUGUAGCGGUAAAAUGCGUAAAUAUAUGGAAGAACACCAGUGGCGAAGGCGGCUUGCUAGGUCAAUACUGACAUUGAGGCACGAAAGCGUGGGGAGCAAACA
rnacentral:rRNA from 1 species